rnacentral:rRNA from 1 species
GACGAACGCUGGCGGCAUGCCUAACACAUGCAAGUCGAGCGAACAGAUGAAGUGCUUGCACUUCUGACGUUAGCGGCGAACGGGUGAGUAACACGUAAGGAAUCUACCUAUAAGCGGGGGAUAACAUUCGGAAACGGGUGCUAAUACCGCAUAAUAUCUUCUUCCGCAUGGAAGAAGAUUGAAAGACGGCUCUGCUGUCACUUAUAGAUGACCUUGCGGUGCAUUAGUUAGUUGGUGGGGUAACGGCCUACCAAGACGAUGAUGCAUAGCCGACCUGAGAGGGUGAUCGGCCACAUUGGGACUGAGACACGGCCCAAACUCCUACGGGAGGCAGCAGUAGGGAAUCUUCCGCAAUGGGCGAAAGCCUGACGGAGCAAUGCCGCGUGAGUGAAGAAGGCCUUCGGGUCGUAAAACUCUGUUAAAAGAGAAGAACAAAUUGUAGAGUAACUGCUACAGUCUUGACGGUAUCUUAUCAGAAAGCCACGGCUAACUACGUGCCAGCAGCCGCCGUAA